UACGAAGGGGGCUAGCGUUGCUCGGAAUCACUGGGCGUAAAGCGCACGUAGGCGGAUCGUUAAGUCGGGGGUGAAAUCCCGAGGCUCAACCUCGGAACUGCCUUCGAUACUGGCGAUCUUUGAGUCCGGGAGAGGUGAGUGGAACUCCGAGUGUAGAGGUGAAAUUCGUAGAUAUUCGGAAGAACACCAGUGGCGAAGGCGGCUCACUGGCCCGGUACUGACGCUGAGGUGCGAAAGCGUGGGGAGCAAACAGG
rnacentral:rRNA from 1 species